rnacentral:rRNA from 1 species
CGCCUUUGGACUGAGAUCAAAAGGUUGGGCCUGCCCGGUGUCUUGUAGAUAAACGGCUGCAGUACUCUGACUGUGCAAAGGUAGCAAAAUCAAUUGUUCAUUAAUUGUGGACUGGAAUCAAUGGUUUGACGAUAAAAUGACUGUCUUUCUCUACUAAGCUUUAAAAUUAACAUAAAAGUGAAGAGGCUUUUAUAGUUUAGCGGGACGAGAAGACCCCGUUGAGCUUUAAUUAGGCUUUUUGUUUUAAUAACACCUAAUUUUAGUUGGGGCAACUAUUUUUAUGUUAUAACACAAAAAUAUCAAAACUAUGAUUUUAAUCUAAUGUGAGCCUUAAUUAUUAGGAUCAAUAGAAUAAGUUACCACGGGGAUAACAGCGUAAUUUUUUUUGAGAGUUCUUAUUGACAAAAAAGUUUGCGACCUCGAUGUUGGAUCAUAGCCUCCUAGGGGUGCAGCCGCUUCUAAGGGUUGGUUUGUUCAACCAUUAAAGCU